GAGUCAUUUGUGAUUGAUCUUACAAAGUGGAUACAAUUUCAAAAGGUGGAAACUGGGGUGGCCGGAGGCAUAAUUUUCAUGAGAAUGAAGCACAAUGAAUAAGGGAAUGUACUGGGUGUUUUGAUGAAAAAAAAAAAAGUUUGGCUUCACCAAAUUGAGCGAGAUGAGGCUGGAAAGGCAGAUGAAGGCCACAUCACAAAUCCAAAAGAGCUUGGAGAUUGUUUUGUAAGCAAUGGAGAAUAAUGGAUUUUCUGACCAGGGUGGUAGCAUGAGCAGAGCUUUGCCUCAGUUUAAAAAUGCAUUAUGAGUCAGUGUUCCUUAGGUUGCCUCAGAGAUAUUUAUGGGAAGAAUACUGGAAAGAGAAGGAGGAACCUGUGGCUGCGGACCAUGGACACCAGAAGGAAGGACGCACUGCUUGAGGUCUCAUUCCUGACGCAGCUCUCCUGCUUGACUUCAUUCCCUGCUGCAAUCUGCUAAUCACUGAGUAUUUGGGCAUCUAAGCAGAGGCUGGUCUAAUGUUUGGCACAG
rnacentral:lncRNA from 1 species